CAGCCGCCGCGGUAAUACGUAGGUGGCAAGCGUUAUCCGGAAUUAUUGGGCGUAAAGCGCGCGUAGGCGGUUUUUUAAGUCUGAUGUGAAAGCCCACGGCUCAACCGUGGAGGGUCAUUGGAAACUGGAAAACUUGAGUGCAGAAGAGGAAAGUGGAAUUCCAUGUGUAGCGGUGAAGUGCGCAGAGAUAUGGAGGAACACCAGUGGCGAAGGCGACUUUCUGGUCUGUAACUGACGCUGAUGUGCGAAAGCGUGGGGAUCAAACAGGAUUAGAUACCCCCGUAGUCCCUGUCUCUUAUAC
rnacentral:rRNA from 1 species